ACGCUGGCGGCAGGCUUAACACAUGCAAGUCGAACGGUAACAGGGAUUAGCUUGCUAAUCUGCUGACGAGUGGCGGACGGGUGAGUAAUGCUUGGGAAUCUGGCUUAUGGAGGGGGAUAACUACGGGAAACUGUAGCUAAUACCGCGUAAAAUCUUCGGAUUAAAGGGUGGGACUUUCGAGCCACCUGCCAUAAGAUGAGCCCAAGUGGGAUUAGGUAGUUGGUAAGGUAAAGGCUGACCAAGCCGACGAUCUCUAGCUGGUCUGAGAGGAUGACCAGCCACACUGGAACUGAGACACGGUCCAGACUCCUACGGGAGGCAGCAGUGGGGAAUAUUGCACAAUGGGGGGAACCCUGAUGCAGCCAUGCCGCGUGAAUGAAGAAGGCCUUCGGGUUGUAAAGUUCUUUCGGUGACGAGGAAGGUUGAUAGGUUAAUAGCCUAUCAAAUUGACGUUAAUCACAGAAGAAGCACCGGCUAACUCCGUGCCAGCAGCCGCGGUAAUACGGGGGGUGCGAGCGUUAAUCGGAAUAACUGGGCGUAAAGGGCACGCAGGCGGUGACUUAAGUGAGAUGUGAAAGCCCCGAGCUUAACUUGGGAAUUGCAUUUCAUACUGGGUCGCUAGAGUACUUUAGGGAGGGGUAGAAUUCCACGUGUAGCGGUGAAAUGCGUAGAGAUGUGGAGGAAUACCGAAGGCGAAGGCAGCCCCUUGGGAAUGUACUGACGCUCAUGUGCGAAAGCGUGGGGAGCAAACAGGAUUAGAUACCCUAGUAGUCCACGCUGUAAACGAUGUCGAUUUGGGGAUUGGGCUUUGAGCUUGGUGCCCGUAGCUAACGUGAUAAAUCGACCGCCUGGGGAGUACGGCCGCAAGGUUAAAACUCAAAUGAAUUGACGGGGGCCCGCACAAGCGG
rnacentral:rRNA from 1 species